GUUUCUACUGCGGCUGUGCGGCUCAGCGCGCGCUAAGCGCGCGGUCGGUUGUCUCGCGUCGGCGAUUCCGACCUUCAGUCAAGUUGUCUCGAGGUGGCUGUGCAGCCUACGCUCUCUGUACCCAGGCCUCUCACUGUUGUGGCCUCUCCCGUUGCGGAGCACAGGCUCCGGACGCGCAGGCUCAGCGGCCAUGGCUCACGGGCCCAGCCGCGCCGCGGCAUGUGGGAUCUUCCCGGACCGGGGCACGAACCCGUGUCCCCUGCAUUGGCAGGCGGACUCUCAACCACUGCGCCACCAGGGAAGCCUCCGAGGACAGGCACUGAGCUGGGGACUUGCCAAGGUGACCGCCUACCGGGAUUCACCGGGACAGACAAGCACAGCGAGGACAGCGUGUGCAGCAGCGCGUGGACCAGGGACCGUUUCAAGUGGAUGGAGAAGAACAGUCCACUUAAAGAAUACUGUCCAGGACAAUGGCCACUCCGUUCGGCAUUAGGUCCAAUAUUUAAAGCUAGUGCAGGGGAAGGUGGAAGCUUCUCAAGGGCAAGGACAGUGUCUCCAUGUGUGGUCAGUGUCUGCCACAAGGGCUCUGAGAUGAGCUCUCUCUGAUAUUGCAGAAUCUGCUGUAGGCUGAACUGCCCUGCAGGCACCCGCUCCUCUCUGCCAGAGCCUAAGGGGCUGCUCCUGAGCCUAACAGUCCUAAUGAGACACGGAGCUGGCACAGCCAAGGGCAGGAGCCUCCUGAGCAGGAGGCUGCCUAACGAGCUGUUGCCACAGCACUUAGACUCAUCAGGGGCCAUUACAGAGGCAGCCAGCACGUCUCCCGGGAAGAAUGUAGGAGGAAGAAGCCAAACAGACACCACAGCCAGUGCUGCGUCCAUAGGCGGUGCCACGAGCAAGGAGUUAGGGCCUGGGAGCCUCAGCAUGGAACGUCUUCACUCACCUCCUCAGCGGAUCACUGAGCUCUGCCUGAAACAGUGCAGAUGCUCGGUGCCGGCAGCCAGGGGGCAGGCCCUGUGAUCCCAGGCCCUUCCCCUCUGACCUCACAGUCUUCCCACAAUAGGGACCCAUGACACUUGAUGGAUGACGGAGAGCAUCCGCCAAAGGAGAAAUCUGUCUCUGCCUUUUUUAUUCUUGUAACUCUGAUAUUGGUUCUGACACUAUCAUUCCUUUGGGAAUUAGAUUCAGUAGAGUAGCCACUCAGCAUUCGGGUUGCUAUGGGACAUUUUCCUCUCUGAACUCAAAAAUAAACAGUCCCUGAAAACAACAGGAAGGUCUCAGGGAACUCAGCACUUUGAAAACAAAUAUCUAAUAAUAUAAAUGUAACAUUUUUAGUUAGAAAACUCUAUCAAAGUAAUUUGAACUGGUUGCUCUAAUAGAACUGAGUCGUCUAAAUAAACCACAGCUCUGUGAUGGGUGUGAUGGUGCCGAGGGCUGGAGGGGGCGCUUCUCCCCAGUCUCAGUCCAGAGGACUUAAAAAUCAGAAGUACGUACACCCAACUCACCCCUUGAGUAUCACUGGGAUUUGCAAAGUACAGAGACGUAGAGGAGCAUCAACAAAAGUCACCUAGGAUCCCAACACCAGAGAGAGCCAGUGACACACCUGGCAAAGGGGCAUCAGAAACAGCCUGUCCACAGGGGAGGAGGGCUGGCUCUGUCACACCUGCACUCGAAGGGGGGCUGAGGCCCUGCUUGAGGACAAGAGCUUUUCUUUUAUACAGAAGGGCCUUGGCUUCGUUCUUGCCUCACCCUGCAGCCCAUCACAAAGGUGAAGAGACCCAACCUGGGCGUGGACCUGAUCUUUCUCACCCUUGCUCCAUCUGCUCCUGACUUACCUAUUCAGAUAUAAAUUUACUAUGUUUACACCAAGAAGCCUAUGUUUUAAGUCCACAGAAAACAAGCAAAUAGUACAAAUCAUAAAGGACAUCAAAGCAUCUACUCACAGGGGAUUUGGAGCCCCUGCGGGGCUGUGUGGCUUUCCCCCUUUACCUUCAAAAACAAAUGGAGCCUGCCCUAAGCUGAGUUGGGCUGGGAAAGGUCAUCUACAAAUGGACUAGCAAAGAUGGCCCAAUACUGAAUAUCCAGGCCUCCCAAGCAGAAGAGAAGUUCCUUAAAAAGGAAUCUGCCCUGCCAUGUUUGACGGCUGGUCCCUGUACCAGUGAAUCCAGGCCAUGUCAACCUCCAAAGACGCCCCACUCCAUCAGGUUAAAAACCAAGGGACUUCCACUGGCCUCACAGCCCCAGGAUCUACCCCAUCCUCUCUCAUUUGCCCCCGUGUCCCCUGCACCUUGCCCAAGCUCACAGACACUCUUCCCUCGGCCUGGAUAUUUCAUCCACAGGCUCUGGGCCUGCCAGCCUCCCUGCCUCCACCCCUCCAGCACAUCACUGUGACCCCGAUGCUUUUGUCUGUCAUGGUGCUUCCUCACCUGAGGUGCUCCCCUUAGAUUAGGUCUAUGUCUGUCUGUCUCCCCCUCUAGCAUGAAAACGCUGGUAAGAGGGCAGGGCUUUUUGUCCUUUGCUCACUGCUGAUCCCCAGUGCCUAGAACAUUGCCCAACAUAGAACAGGUGUUGAAAAACAAAAACAAAAAAUGUGUGGAGUGAAUGGCUCUCCGGCAAGUCUCACAGGCACUUAAGUGGGGCAGGAGGAGAGCAGCUUAGCCUCUUAAGAUGUUUUAUCAACAAACGCACCUGUGGUAAGAAGAGUGAUAUUGGGAGGUGCCUCAGUUGGGUUACAAUGCUGAAAAAGGAAGAGUGUUCUGGAUUGAAAGAGGAUCCUGAAAUAAGCAGUUCUAGGUCCCCGUGGUCAGUCAAAGGUGGUUUCAAUUGUAUUUUUUUCUGCCAAGUUCCAGUAGCCAGUGAUAGGGACCAAUAUUGAAAUCAUUAUUUUAUGACUUGACUAUUUUCUUUAAUCAUGGCCUGACUCCUAACAAUACUUGAAUCUAACAGAUUCAUCUUAACGCAAUGACUACAAAUGAGAGAGAGAAAAUCAUAAUGUAGGGAGAGUGGGACAAAGCUGGAAGGCCAUUUGGAAAUUGUGCUAAAGCACUAGAGUCUGCAUUAGCUAUUUUUAAGUAAUAAACUAAGAAAACACUAAGACCCUUGAGUCUAUCAACCCAAUAAAAAUGAGAAAAAUAAGUUUUUUAAAAAAUAGAAUGAAAGAAGCCAAUGAAGUCAAGGAUGCUCCAUCCUACCUAGAGCCGCCAGGAAUUCGUGACAUCCCGGGAGCCGCCACAGCUGGACGCUGAUGGAGACCUGAAUGGGGGCUGAUGCGAAGUCCUGCUCCUUCUCGCCGGCCUGCAGCUGGACCAGCACCUGGUGGAGCUGAGCGGGGAGAGCGUCAGCGUCCGCUGCAUCUGGCCCCCAGGGGUUUGUCCCCAAGUUUCUCUUGUGUCACCUGUCAUUAUCAUCACUAAUGACCUUACACGUGGGUAGCAUCUGAAAUUCUCUUUACGGUGCCUCCAUGCCUACUGUCCUGCUGUCCUCUCUGUGGGAGCUCGAGGCCCAGGCCCCAGGCAGGGUUUCUGCUUCUAGCCUCUUCCCUCGCACACUGGCCACGGGGCUAUGAGUGCAGGAGGGGACUCGGGGCCUAGAGGAGGGGUGGGGUCUCCCAGACACAACCUGCUGAAUGUGUGAACUCCACCCGGGGCCUCGUGUGGGUUCACAGUGUGUUGCUCCUGCCCCUGCUGUUCUGAGGGAACUUGAAAGGUCAAAUCAAGAGCACAAGAAGGGUGGAGCAGGAAAGGGGAGCCAGAGCGGAGACGGGGCAGACCACCUGAGCCAGCGGCACUGCCCCCCCAGCCUGAGCGCGUGUUGGCGAGACAGCAGUGCCAGGGGGACCUCGGGGUGGGCGGGUUGAGGGGCUCACCUGACAACAGUGCUACUCAGAGUGGUACUCACCAUUCCAACCAUAUUUUUAACAGCCUUCGGCCAGCAGAUUAUAAGAAGAAGAAAGAAAAAGAGAGAAAGAAGAGAAUUUAGACUUAAGCACAGGUAGUUACGCAACACAAGCUGAUCACUGCUGUAGGAAGCACCACACCGGGCCCGCGGCUCUGACCCGGAGGGGAGAGGAGUGAGAGUCAGCAGGGACACACAGGAGAACGCACAGCCACGCCCAGGCCAGACAUGCGCUGGGGGUGGGGGUGGGGCCAGGGUCGGCCAGGCCCUGCCCUUCCUCGCCAGGAGAGGGGGAGGGGCACAGUGGGCGCGGAUAGGCCACUCUGUAGAGCAAAGUCCACUCUGGUUCCAGAGUGACUCGGAAAUGCCUACCAUCCCCCAGCCACUGGGGGCGGCCCAGGACGCUUCCCUGUGGAGGUCCCUGUGCUGCCACCAAAAGCUAGAAAUUAAGCUAUUGGCUGUUUGGAUGCUCAGCCUGGCCCUGUAAAUGUAACUCUAGCUUUCUCUUUUUGUAGAGCACAGGCUUGUAGCCCUCCUGGGUUCAGGAUGUUUAAGUGUCUUCCUGAUUCUAUUCAACAAGCAGGUCUAACACACUUACUACAAAGUAGCAGAAACUCAGUGAAGGGGCCAGAUGAGUGAGCUAUGUUCCAAAUCCAAGCUGGAAACCACCCCAGGUAGGGGGAGGCUCCAGGAACCAAUCAGAUAUGCAGAGGUUAACCCUAGAUGGAGCAGCUCUAUUUCCACAUAGAAACAGUUCCGCUCAAAUGAAAUCUGCUGAUAUCUAAUAAUGUGUAUUUUUCAAAUUAUUACACUGUAAGGUGACCAGAGAAAACUGCUCUGUGCUCUUUAGGGGUUGCUACACUGUCACCCCAGUGCUUGUUCCAGACCCUCACUGGCCAGUAGGAAGAUCAGAAGCUCUUAGGCCAAGUUGGGAAGGGCCUACAUGAUGCUAAGGGUUAGAAUCCUCCAAUUCUCUGAAUUAGAUCUACAUUCUCCUAAAAGAAAGCACUUUUUGAAAAGCUGCUAAGCAGUAUCUUUCAUGAGACUUGACUUUGUGUUCACCGCUGUGCCUCAGUGGUGGUUUUGUUUCAGGCAGGGGGUCAUACUUUGAUCUAAGAAUAAGUAUUGGAGCUCCUGUAGCCACCCUGACGGGAUGGCCCUACACCUGCUGGCUUGGGUAAGGUGGCUGCCACACUUGUCAAUCAGCAGAAACAGUUGGUGGUUAGGGAUGAUAAGGUGCAGGAGACCACUGAAUGGAGAGUUCAGGAAAUGCCCUGAGAUUACAGGUGACUGGGGCCCCUUAAGCAUCCUCUGAGGCCCUUGGGACUCAGUGCCCAGGGAGGACACUGGGAGAACUUGCUCCUCUGUGCCUGCACCUGCUGGAGAGGGCAGUUCUACUCCCAGCCCUUGCCUUUUCCUUCUCAUUACAAAAGCUGAAAAAAAGCAGUGAGGCAUCACGUGCAGGUUCCUAUUUGGGGCCAAAUCACUGUCUUUCCAACCCAGCACAGUCCUCAGACCUGGGCUCAGCUGUCCUGGCUCAACUCACCCGGCUGAUGAGCUGCUCGCCCGUCUCCGAGGCAGUGAUGAGCUUGCAGAGGGCUUGGAGGGCAGGGUUGGGCAGACCUAAAGCAAGGAGGAGGCAGGCGUUAUCCGGAGGGGCCUCUGCACCCACGGUCCUGCACCUUCCGAGGGGAAUGCACCCCAAACGCUCAGCUUUGGUGGCAUUUUCAGAAGCUCGGGACAGCCAGACGUGUGUAUCCGUGUCUGGCUUGUCUCUGAGAAGGGCAGAUGGAGGCAGGGCCAGUCCUGACCCUGCUGUGUCCUCCAGGCAUGUGGUCACAUGCCAGGACCCCAACUAGUCGCUUAGGCAGCAUCACCCGCUUCGAGUGAAACACAAAGGGCAGCCCUGAGCAUCUGUGCCCCGCGUCACCCUGGGGUCAGCCACACAGCUCUGUCAGAUCCGAAGCUGCUGAAUAAAUGUUAAUAGCAGCUACUGUUUGCCCAGCAAGACCUCACGUCACCCCAGGAAGGGGCAGAGGAUAUGUUGCCAUCAGAUGGAAACACUAGGUCAGGAGCACUCCUUUCCCCCAGAUCAGGAGGAGUCUGUGUCUGGGACUCCUCAGCACUUCUCAAGAGACCCUCGCUCCUCCCCACCUGAGACCCAGCAGGGACCGCGGCCACCCACUGCCCUGCUCAAGCUGUCAGCCAAGGCUCACCCAGCAGGGACUGGAUGGUGCUGCUGCACUGCUGGAGCCGGUCGCCCGGGUCGGAGGUUGGGAAGAAGACAGCUGCUGGCAGGCCACUG